AAAAUUUCUCAGCCAGGAGAAAAUAGAAAUAUUCUUUCCAUAUCAAUAUUCUUAAACUUUUUUUUCUUGUUUACUAUUUUACCCUUUGUUGAAAAUUAGAAUAACGAGGAAACAGCGAGCCGAAAGAGGAUAAAAGCCAAACGUGUAGCAGAGGGACCGUUAAUAGCCGGCGCCAAAUAUUCCUUGUUUGUUCCUUGCCCCCCUCUCUUAAAAUCACAGAGCAGCCCAGUUUUUGUUGUUCUGUUUAAAAAAGAAAAAAAAAAAAAAAAACCCUGCAGCUGUGCAGCUAACAAAAACACUUCACUUCUCAUUAAUUCUCAUUAACAGACCAAUUAACUGACUCUUCUUUCUUCUGUAUUUUGGUUGAACUAGAGCUAGCUAGCUCUUUUGCAAUUUGCGUGAUGGAGAAUGGUUUCUCCUCUCCAAGAAACGACACCUUUAAUCCUGCCGGUCUCCGCGUUCUUGUUGUUGAUGAUGAUCUAGCGUGGCUCAAAAUUCUUGAAAAGAUGCUCAAAAAGUGUUCCUAUGAAGGUUCGUGGUCACAGUUAAAUUUCAGAUUUUACUUUACUUUGUUACUGUUGUUAUUACUUGGUUUGCUUUAACUGUAUGAUAUAUCCACUUCCUCAUCUGCGUUUCUUGUUUUUUCUUAAUGAUCUUCGACUGCUCACUGAACUAAUUUGCUACAUCAAGUUCUUAUAAUUUCUUUUGUUAUAAUUGCUGACCCGUGAGACCUUUUUUUUUCCCUCCUCCGCCUGCAUGGAUUAUUAGUUUUAAAAAAAAAAAAAAAAAAAAAAAACACCCUGCAGCUGUGCAGCUAACAAAAACACUUCACUUCUCAUUAAUUCUCAUUAACAGACCAAUUAACUGACUCUUCUUUCUUCUGUAUUUUGGUUGAACUAGAGCUAGCUAGCUCUUUUGCAAUUUGCGUGAUGGAGAAUGGUUUCUCCU
rnacentral:lncRNA from 1 species